rnacentral:misc_RNA from 1 species
UCUCCGUUGGUGAACCAGCGGAGGGAUCAUUACUGAGUACUACACUCUCUACCCUUUGUGAACUAUUAUACCUGUUGCUUCGGCGGCGCCCGCAAGGGUGCCCGCCGGUCUCAUCAGAAUCUCUGUUUUCGAACCCGACGAUACUUCUGAGUGUUCUUAGCGAACUGUCAAAACUUUUAACAACGGAUCUCUUGGCUCCAGCAUCGAUGAAGAACGCAGCGAAACGCGAUAUGUAAUGUGAAUUGCAGAAUUCAGUGAAUCAUCGAAUCUUUGAACGCACAUGGCGCCUUCCAGUAUCCUGGGAGGCAUGCCUGUCCGAGCGUCGUUUCAACCCUCGAGCCCCUGUGGCCCGGCGUUGGGGAUCUGCCACGGCAGGCCCCUAAAACCAGUGGCGGACCCGAAGGCCCUCUCCUUUGCGCAGUAGCAUCGGCCUCGCAUUGGGAUCCCUCGGCGUCCUGCCUCUAAAC